UACGAAGGGGGCGAGCGUUGUUCGGAUUUACUGGGCGUAAAGGGCGCGCAGGCGGCAGAUCAAGUCAGGCGUGAAAGCCCCGGGCUUAACCUGGGAACUGCGUCUGGGACUGGUUUGCUAGAGAUCGGGAGAGGAGAGUGGAAUUCCCAGUGUAGAGGUGAAAUUCGUAGAUAUCAAGCGGAACACCGGUGGCGAAGGCGGCCUUCUGGACAGUGACUGACGCUGAGACGCGAAAGCGUGGGGAGCGAACAGG
rnacentral:rRNA from 1 species